rnacentral:tRNA from 1 species
GCGAUCGUAGUGUAAUGGCAGCAUCCUGGUCUUCCACACCUUAGGUACGAGUUCGAAUCUCGUCGAUCGCUCCA